UAAUAGGAAGAAAACAUCAGCGGGGGACGGGCGUGUUGUGGAGGGACAAUAACUGACGGUGAGGGCGAGAAAGGGGUGGGGGAACAAAACAGGAAUUUAAAUCCCGUGGUUGUCCCCCGUGUAAACGAUGAUUAAUAGGGUGUGGGGGUGAAUGACCCCCUCCGUGCCGCAGAUAACACAAUAAGUAUUCCACGUGGGGGAGCGCGGGCGCAAGGUUGAAACUCAAAAAAAUUGACGGGGGCCCGCACCAGCAGUGGAUUAUGUGUUUUAUUUUGAUGCAACGGGAAGAACCUUACCAGGUUUGUCAUCCAACUAACGAAGUAGAGAUACAUUAGGUUCCCUUCGGGGAAAGUAGAGACAGGUGGUGCAUGGUUGUCGUCAGAUCGUGUCGUGAGAUGUUGGGUUAAGUCCCGCAACGAGCGCAACCCCUAUUGUUAGUUUUACGCAAGAGCACUCUAGCGAGUCUGCCGGGGACAAAACGGAGGAAGGUGGGGAAGACGUCAAAUCAUCAUGCCCCUUAUGUCCUGGGCUACACAGGUAAUACAAUGGUUGUAAACAGAGGAAAGGAAAGCCGCGAGGUGGAGCAAAUCCACAAAAACCGUCUCAGUUCGGAUUGUAGGCUGCAACUCGCCUACAUGAAGCUGGAAUUGUUAGUAAUCGCGGAUCAGCAUGUCGCGGUGAAUACGUUCCCGGGCCUUGUACACACCGCCCGUCACACCAUGAGAGUCGGGAACACCCGAAGUCGGUGAUCUAACCGCAAGGAGGGAGCGGCCGAAGGUGAGGACCGGAUGAACUUGGGGGU
rnacentral:rRNA from 1 species